UCCCUGAUGGUCCAGUGGUUAGGACUUGGCACUUUCACUACCAUGGCCAGGGUUCGAUUCCCGGUCAGGGAA